rnacentral:rRNA from 1 species
GACGAACGCUGGCGGCGUGCUUAACACAUGCAAGUCGAGCGGUAAGGCCCCUUCGGGGGUACACGAGCGGCGAACGGGUGAGUAACACGUGAGCAAUCUGCCCUUCACAUCGGGAUAACCUCGGGAAACCGAAGCUAAUACCGGAUACGACCACCGAAGGCAUCUUCUGGUGGUGGAAAGUUCCGGCGGUGAAGGAUGAGCUCGCGGUCUAUCAGCUUGUUGGUGGGGUAAUGGCCUACCAAGGCGACGACGGGUAGCCGGCCUGAGAGGGUGACCGGCCACACUGGGACUGAGACACGGCCCAGACUCCUACGGGAGGCAGCAGUGGGGAAUAUUGGACAAUGGGCGAAAGCCUGAUCCAGCAACGCCGCGUGAGGGAUGACGGCCUUCGGGUUGUAAACCUCUUUCAGCAGGGACGAAGCGCAAGUGACGGUACCUGCAGAAGAAGCACCGGCCAACUACGUGCCAGCCGCCGCGGUAACAC